GUCUACAGCCAUACCAUCCUGAAUGUGCCCAAUCUCAUCUGAUCUCGGAAGCUAAGCAGGGUCGGGUCUGGUUAGUACUUGGAUGGGAGACCACUUGGGAAUACCAGGUGCUAUAGGCU